CUCACAUUGAGGCAAGGCAGGUUUUCCAUGUAAAGGUCAGAAGAUUUUCAAUAAUUUUUUAGGCCAAUUUCACCGUGACUCUGUUACUCUCGAUGCAGUAUGAAGGAAUUAAUUUGCAUAGGAAAAUUCGCAGAAGUAUGCAAGAAUUUACAACCCACAUUUUACUGAACAAACUAUCGCAGACUGGAUGUGGUAUGUUCGAGAUUCGUUUGAGUACAUUCCAAGCGGUCAUCAGCACCGUCAUAUCGUACGCCUUUAUUUUGAUUCAAU